AGUUGUAGCCACAGCUGCCCUGGGGCAGACUGACAGAAGCGAGGCUGCCAUAUCGCGCCAUCGGCCCCUCUGGCCAACACCUUUUUACUCCAUCAUCAUUGAAUCUGUCCUUACUUUCUCUGUUACCACCUGGUAGUGAUGGCUCGCUUGAAGCUGACGCUCCGGUGCGUGUGUCACUGUGUCGAAGCUUGAUUCGUUUGCCCAGAGUCACGUGAUCGGUGACGUCCGAAGCUUCAUUUAGAGCGUGACUGCUUCGGUGUCUGAUUCAAUGGUUCAUAAGGAAGCGAAUCAUUCGCGGGAUUUGUGGAGUGUUUGAUGGUGACAGAUAGCGAACCACUGAUAUUUCUACUGAGAGAUUUGGAGCCAGCGAGGAAUAGAGGAGGUUCUGUUGUGUGGGAGUAUUUUGAGUUGAUUUUGGUCGAUCAGAUGUCACCAGAGAGGACUGUGUUGAAAAGCUUCGAGUAAUGAACCGUUUUUCAAUACAAGCUUCAGAAAGCUUCAUUUGGCCAUCACUACCACCUGGUAAGCUGCUGUCUCUGCCAAGGACCAAAGCAGAGUGAAGCCGCUCCUCCGAGAAGACGAUUGGCUGCAAUCCCUACAACACCUGAACAGGAAACUGAGGCUACAGUUCCCAGACUCACCAAAAUUGGACCACAAAAUGAAAAAAUGUUUUCCGAUCUGAUCAUGAUUUCUGCAGCAAAAUUUAAAUGUUUGGUGUAAAGAUGAAAGCAUGGAUCCACCCUGCCUGCGCCAGUGCUCAGACUGCUGCUGAUGUGAUGGUAUAGGGCAGAUUUCCAGUACCAGCUGAACAUCAUUGAACUCCACAGCCUACCUGAGUGUUAUUGCUGACCACGUCUGUGGGUUUAUGACCACAGUAUAUCAUUUCCUGAUGCUGCUUUCAGCACGAUCACACAGCUCAUCUCAAACUGUUUUUUUGAAUAUGACAGUGAGGUCAGUGCACUCAGCCUCCACAGCCACAGUCCUGUGAUUGUUCAGCACUCUAACAGGUUCUAAAUGCAGUCUCCAUAGCACGUUCUUCUAUUUCAUCUUCAGAUAUGUUGAAAUGUAGGUACUAACUGCUGCAGACAUGUCCACACUGUCUCCCCUUUAUUUAUUUUUAGCGUCUGCAUCCUGUCAGCUGAUCAUUACCUAUAAACAUUAAAUCAAAAGGUCAAAUCUGAGCUUCAUCAUUUGUCUCGCACUACUGAGCUUCAUCUGAAAAUGAAAGCUAGAUAAAUGUCUGAUUAAAGCUGGUCUCUCUUCUGAUGUUUGUAGAUCAACAUCACGUUCAUGGAUUUAAAUGGGAGUUCCGCUCUUUACUUACCUGUUGCUAUAGAGAAUCGUUGCAUAAGAGCUGCACUGAUAUUAAUCACGUAUGUGCUUAAUAUCAGUGCAGCUGUCUGAUUUGAACCUACUUCCUGGAUGAAGACUCUGCUCGUACACUCAAUGUGACUUCAACUAAUCACAUGUAAUUUUUAGCUUUAGCUACAUAAGUCUGCACAUUGAAUUUAAUGGACAAAAUGUAUUUGAUUGGUAGACAUUACCUUUGACACAUUGCAGCUGCAUUUUAAUCUGAAUUAUUACUUCACGUUCAUCGAGGGCAGAAAAAUCAUUUUGAAGCUGGAGCAGCACAUCCAAUAAAAGCUCGUCAGUCAAAGGAGGAGGAGUUUUAUUCUACACACUGAAACACAGCAAAGUCAUUUUUUCACAGAUGAAACAGAAACUAAAUGUUUAUUAGAGCUGCUUUCAUCUGAUUCCUCUUCUGUCACUGACUGAGGUCAAGGUCUGUUUGAUUUUGUCAGCUGAACUUAAAUCACCACGACCAGGUGAGAUGCCAGGUGAGAGUCAAAGUCCAUUUAGAAGAGUUGUCAUUUUACCUCCUAAGGCUGGAGAUGCUGUCAGGGCCCAGCUACUCUUUACCUUUGUUUUAGAUUUCAACCCGAGACAUGCGGGGGCAUCAGGGGAGUGUGCGAGGUGGUUUUGCAGCAGAGAUCAAACAUUUUCUGUGUCGCUGACUUUAACAGGGGAUAAAAAAAAACAGAAACGCCAAAGGAACAAACCAGCCAAUCAAUGCCGGCUUCAA